rnacentral:rRNA from 1 species
UACACGACCGUACCGCAAACCGACACUGGUGCGCGAGAUGAGUAUUCUAAGGCGCUUGAGAGAACUCAGGAGAAGGAACUCGGCAAAUUGACACCGUAACUUCGGAAGAAGGUGUGCCUUUAGUAGGUGAAGGGAUUUACUCCCAGAGCCCAAUGAGGUUGCAAAAAAUCGGUGGCUGCGACUGUUUAAUAAAAACACAGCACUCUGCAAACACGAAAGUGGACGUAUAGGGUGUGACGCCUGCCCGGUGCUGGAAGAUUAAAUGAUGGGGUGCAAGCUCUUGAUUGAAGUCCCAGUAAACGGCGGCCGUAACAAUAACGGUCCUAAGGUAGCGAAAUUCCUUGUCGGGUAAGUUCCGACCUGCACGAAUGGCGUAACGAUGGCCACACUGUCUCCUCCCGAGACUCAGCGAAGUUGAAAUGUUUGUGAUGAUGCAAUCUCCCCGCGGAAAGACGGAAAGACCCCAUGAACCUUUACUGUAGCUUUGUAUUGGACUUUGAACAGAUCUGUGUAGGAUAGGUGGGAGGCUUUGAAGCAGGGUCGCUAGAUCUUGUGGAGCCAACGUUGAAAUACCACCCUGGCGUGUUUGAGGUUCUAACCUAGGCCCGUUAUCCGGGCUGGGGACAGUGCAUGGUAGGCAGUUUGACUGGGGCGGUCUCCUCCCAAAGCGUAACGGAGGAGUUCGAAGGUACGCUAGUUACGGUCGGACAUCGUGACGAUAGUGCAAUGGCAUAAGCGUGCUUAACUGCGAGACUGACAAGUCGAGCAGAUGCGAAAGCAGGACAUAGUGAUCCGGUGGUUCUGUAUGGAAGGGCCAUCGCUCAACGGAUAAAAGGUACUCUGGAUAACAGGCUGAUACCGCCCAAGAGUUCAUAUCGACGGCUGUGUUUGGCACCUCGAUGUCGGCUCAUCUCAUCCUGGGGCUGUAGCCGGUCCCAAGGGUAUGGCUGUUCGCCAUUUAAAGAGGUACGUGAGCUGGGUUUAAAACGUCGUGAGACAGUUUGGUCCCUAUCUUCCGUGGGCGCUGCAGAUUUGAGGAAGCCUGCUCCUAGUACGAGAGGACCGGAGUGGACACACCUCUGGUGUAUCGGUUGUCACGCCAGUGGCAUUGCCGAGUAGCUAUGUGUGGAAGAGAUAACCGCUGAAAGCAUCUAAGCGGGAAACUCGUUUCAAGAUGAGAUCUGCCGGGGCCUUGAGCCCCCUAAAGAGUCGUACAAGACCAGGACGUUGAUAGGUCAGGUGUGGAAGCGCAGUAAUGCGUUAAGCUAACUGAUACUAAUUGCUCGUGCGGCUUGACC